CCCGCGGUGCGUGUGGGCGGCGGGCGGUGUGGGCGCGGCGUGUGCGGCAGGCUGGGCUGCACCGCAGCGCAUACACUACAAUGGCUGCUGGAAGGACGGGAAAGCAAACAAUUUCCAGGCCCGCCGCGUCCAGCCCGAAAUAUGGGGAAAAAAUUACAGAAAAAUCGGAGAACACUGUAAAGGGUGGAAACGGGGCGCAGAGGGGAUGCUGAGGCUCCCGCGACCGGAAUGCAGUGCCUUUGUAGUGUCACUUUCCUGAUCUAAUUAGGAUGUGUGAGGCAAAGUGUAAACCUUUCCGGUUUAUGAAGUGCGUUUUCGUUGCCUUUCAAUCUCGAGUUUUCCUGGUGGCUCCCUCCUCUCUUUAAACUGGAUCCUGCGGAGCGGUGUGGGGCUGAGGUAAUGCUCCACGGGGAAGGCUCUGUGCUCCAGGCAGGCACCCCUCCUGCUCUGCCUGCUGCCCUGCCUGCCACGUCCCUUCACCUGUCUGCGUCCCACCAGGCGGGCGUUCUGCGCUCCCCUCGUUGUGUUUAUGUGAAAUGAGGAUGCCUCAUCUCGCCUCACGUUGAAGUUAAUGCGAAAGUGCUGCUGAUGUUGGUUCCACGUGGGAUCAGGGCAUUUUAAAGAGACAGCUUCUCUUUUCCUAUGGUUCUCAGCACCUCUGCCUGUGGCGGAGGGAUGGUUCGUUGGUUGGGGUUUUUUUUAAUGGAAAGGUAUCAAAUCAGCCCCGGUCUGAAAAAUUAACCAUAGAUAACGGGGGGAAAUGCUCAGAUUCGUUCGGAUCGAAGCGAUUCUGUUGUGCGUCACGAGGCUUCUCCUGGCGUGCUCAUGAGAAGGCUGCGUUUUGGAGAGCUCUUUUUGGAGUGGCUGUCGCAGGAAUGGAGGAGUCCCACGUUGUUACAUCAAAACCUGACCUUGCUGUGCUACCUGCGAGCUCCCUGGGAGGAGACCUCUGUGCACAGUGCGGUUUCGUGGCUCUUUUGAAGGAGCUGCGAAGUGCAUUAUUUUUACUGUAAAUAAGCUCAGUGUUGUUGGGGACACCUGAGUUUGUCGAGCAGCGUUGCGGCCCUUGUUGUACGCUUAAACCUUCUGAGCAGCUCCAAAAGGUUUUGAGAACGG
rnacentral:lncRNA from 1 species